rnacentral:rRNA from 1 species
AAUACGUAGGGGGCAAGCGUUGUCCGGAUUUAUUGGGCGUAAAGAGCGUGUAGGCGGCCACGCAGGUCCGCUGUGAAAACUCGAGGCUCAACCUCGAGCUGUCGGUGGAAACCGUGUGGCUAGAGUCCGGAAGAGGAGUGUGGAAUUCCCGGUGUAGCGGUGAAAUGCGCAGAUAUCGGGAAGAACACCUAUGGCGAAGGCAGCACUCUGGGACGGUACUGACGCUGAGACGCGAAAGCGUGGGGAGCGAACAG